AUGGAUAUAUCUGAUUGCCAAGAUCUAAGGUCUUUUUCGUUUGAAGGUUUUAGUAAUCUCGUCUCUUUAACGAAUUUGGGAAUAUCCAUGUGCAAAGAACUUUUCUCUUCGGAUGUGAUGCCAGAGCAUACCCUUGAAGAUGUGAUAGUUACGAAUUACAGGGCCUUCCCAUCUCUUAAAAGUCUGACUAUUAGCUCAUGUGGAAUAGCGGGGAAGUGGCUAUCUCUGAUGCUGCAACAUGCGCCUUACCUCGAGAAACUGAGUAUAGAUGAUUGUGAACAUAUAACAACAGUACUGUUACCGAUGGAAGCGGGAGAAAAUAGUCUAUCAGACAUUAUCUCAGCCAGGGAGGACUCGUCAUCGGGAAACCAAGAUGAAACAUCGACCUGGUUAGCUCGAGAUGGACUCUUGCACGUUCCAUCAGAUCUCAUCUCCUCUCUCAAGGAGAUAUUUAUUUGGAAUUGCCCUCGUCUAACAUUUAACCAGGGCAGCGAAUGCUUCUCUGGAUUCACCUCCCUUGAGAGGCUAAUGAUUUGGGUUUGCCCUGAGCUUCCCUCGUCAUUGGUGCAUAAAGAGGGAAGUGAUGACGGGGAGAACGGGAGAUGGCUCUUCCCGAUAUCACUUCGGGAAUUUGACAUCAGCGGCUAUUCCCAAGAAACACUGCAACCCUGCUUUCCUAGAGAUAGUACCAGCCUGACAAAGUUAGCGGUAUGGAGCAGCCCAGAUUUGCAAUAUCUACAGCUGCACUCAUGCACCGCACUGGAAGAGUUGUUUAUCAAUGACUGUGAAUCGCUCGCUGCCAUAGAGGGCUUGAACUCCCUUGGCAACCUCAGGCAUUUGACAGUAUACGGCCUCAGGCAGUUGUCUGCAUGUUUGGAAAGCUUUUCAAGGCUGAGCUAUAGACUAUGCUCUCAGCUGGAAACACUCAAGAUCGAUGACCCAUCUGUCCUUACCACGUCAUUCAGCAAGCACCUCACCACCCUGCAACGCCUACAACUUACACGUUUGAAGAAAGUGAGGAGACUGACCAAUGAGCAAGAGAGAGCCCUUGUGCUCCUCAAGUCCCUGCAAGAGCUCGGUUUUUCUUAUUGUUUUGAUCUAGUAGUUCUUCCUGCGGGGCUGCACAACCUUCCUUCCCUCAAGAAGUUGAAGAUGGACGCUUGUCCGCGAGUCUCAAGGCUGCCGGAAACAGGCCUCCCACUUUUGCUGGAAGAACUAGACAUCAAGUUUUGCAGCAAGAAGCUGGCUGAUCAAUGCAGGCUGCUAGAAACAAGCAAGCUAAAAGUCAAAAUUAGUCUAUGCUCUUGA
rnacentral:rRNA from 1 species